rnacentral:rRNA from 1 species
GAAUGGCACCACGAAGGUUAUACUGUCUCCUUUUUCUAAUCAGUGAAACUAAUCUCCCCGUGAAGAAGCGGGGAUACAGCUAUAAGACGAGAAGACCCUAUGGAGCUUUAAACAACACAGCAAUUACCAACUGAACUACAAAGUUUCUGAACAUUUUAAUAUUUUAAGUAAUCUGACUGCAAGUUUUUGGUUGGGGUGACCACGGAGCAUAACAUAACCUCCAUGUUGAAAGAAUUCUUUCUAAGCUAAGAACAACCUUUCUAGGCAUCAAUAUAUUGACAUCCAUUGACCCAAUACAUUUGACCAACGAACCAAGUUACCCUAGGGAUAACAGCGCAAUCCACUUCAAGAGCUCCUAUCGACAAGUGG